rnacentral:rRNA from 1 species
AUUGAACGCUGGCGGCAGGCCUAACACAUGCAAGUCGAACGAGUGGCGGACGGGUGAGUAAUGUCUGGGAAACUGCCUGAUGGAGGGGGAUCACUACUGGCAACGGUAGCUAAUACCGCAUACCAUCAGCUGUGCCCAGAUGGGAUUAGCUAGUUGGUGGGGUAACGGCUCACCAAGGCGAAGAUCCCUAGCUGGUCUGAGAGGAUGACCGGCCACACUGGAACUGAGACACGGUCCAGACUCCUACGGGAGGCAGCAGUGGGGAAUAUUGCACAAUGGGCGAAAGCCUGAUGCAGCCAGGCCGCGUGUAUGAAGAAGGCCUUCGGGUUGUAAAGUACUGUCAGCGGGGAGGCGGUACCCGCAGAAGAAGCACCGGCUAACUCCGUGCCAGCCGCCGCGGUAAUAC